rnacentral:misc_RNA from 1 species
GAUGAAGAACGCAGCGAAAUGCGAUAAGUAAUGUGAAUUGCAGAAUUCAGUGAAUCAUCGAAUCUUUGAACGCAUAUUGCGCCCCUUGGUAUUCCGAGGGGCAUGCCUGUUCGAGCGUCAUUAUAACCCCUCAAGCUCAGCUUGGUGUUGGGGCCUGCUGCACUGGCAGCCCUUAAAAUCAGUGGCGGCGCCAUCUGGCUCUAAGCGUAGUAAUUCUUCUCGCUAUGGAGUCCUGGUGGAUGCUUGCCAUCAACCCCCAAUUUUUCUAUGGUUGACCUCGGAUCAGGUAGGGAUACCCGCUGAACUUAAGCAUAUCAAUAAGCGGAGGA